AUCAGAUAAAAUAUGCAGAUGAGUAGAAAGAUUAUUUUUAUUCAAGCAUACUAAAUAGGCUGAUUAAUUCAUUUAUAGAGUUGAAAAACAAACAAGUAAUUUUGAGCAAAAGAUUUUUCGUCGGAGAAUUCUAUAUAUUUCAAACAAAUUUCCUGUUGCAAUUCUACAUUUCGUAAGUGAUUUAUUUUGUCUUUCAUCUCAGAUGCUUGGAACAGAAAUCGUUUAUCAACAGGGUACUGAAAAGUUACCGGGAUCGGAGCCGAUUCAAAGCCCUUAUUCAACUCCCCGGCUGUACGAGCAACAGCUAAAGCUCAACCAGCUGGUUCGAUAAUUUUAAUAGGAGGAUUACCCGGUCCAGAGGUGCUACAGAAGAUUACUUGUUUGUUUUUCAACUCUAUACAUGGAUUAAUCAGCCUAUUGAGUAUGCU